rnacentral:rRNA from 1 species
AGCCCAGACUCCUACGGGAGGCAGCAGUGGGGGAUAUUGCACAAUGGGGGGAACCCUGAUGCAGCGACGCCGCGUGGGUGAGGAAGUACCCCGGUAUGUAAAGCCCUUUCGGCAGGGAAGAAAAUGACGGUACCUGGCGAAGAAGCCCCGGCUAACUACGUGCCAGCAGCCGCGGUAAUACGUAGGGGGCAAGCGUUAUCCGGAUUUACUGGGUGUAAAGGGAGCGUAGACGGCUGUGCAAGCCAGAUGUGAAAGCCCGGGGCUCAACCCCGGGACUGCAUUUGGAACUGCGUGGCUUGAGUGUCGGAGAGGCAGGCGGAAUUCCUAGUGUAGCGGUGAAAUGCGUAGAUAUUAGGAGGAACACCAGUGGCGAAGGCGGCCUGCUGGACGAUGACUGACGUUGAGGCUCGAAAGCGUGGGGAGCAAACAGGAUUAGAUACCCCCGUACC